rfam:Triticum urartu cultivar G1812 contig561906, whole genome shotgun sequence.
CAAAUACUCCCUCUGUCCGAAAAAGCUUGUCCCAAGCUUGUUCCUCAAAUGGAUGUAUCUAGCACUAACUUGGUGCUAAAUACAUCCAUUUGAGGGACAAGCUUUUUCAGACGGAGGGAGUAUGUC